GUACAGUUUCGUAAUUGUGCUCGUUUGGGCAGUCAUGUGUUUCUCACUGUUUUCAGUUGCGCAGUCCGUUGUGAAUCAAGUAUUGUGCUUUGUUCUUUUACUUCGCACUGCAUGUGCAGCGAUUUGGUUCUACGAUAUUAAUUUGGUGAGCAGCUGAGCUGGUGGCCAAGGCUGCCGCGUGUAAGUGGUCUGUGCAUGGUUCAACAAUUGUACUCAUGUGAGCUGUAGUGCGUUACACACUGUUUUCGGUCACGCUGUGCUUUGUCAACCAGAGGCGGGAGAAAUUCUUAAAUGUGCUUCUGACGGAAUCCCAACCAUGAAACUAUCAGUGUUAAUCAAUUUUGCGGGAAGAAUUUACGUCAUGUAUAACGACACGAAGUACCAGGUAUUCGAGAAGUGCAAGAAAGUGAGAUAUAAAGACUACUUAUCUAUGAUUCCUCGUGAGAUUUGUGGAGUGAAGAAUUUCAGAAAUGAAACACUCGAUCCUCGCUUCGAUACAUACUCUGCUAAAUGGCACAAAGGCCAUCACUUGUUCCUCUAUGACGGCACUGAUUCAAUUCAGCGAAAGAUGUGUAACCUGAAGAAGGCCUUCGUCGAUUUAAGGUUCGGCAUUGGAGUGGUCAGAAUCGAGGCUCUAAAGGACAAAAUCGACUGCAUGGCACACCUCAGUGGAUUCUACUCUGCACUUGUGGAAGUUCAAUAUCUUGAAACUUAUAUUACUAAGCACUUUAAUGUGCCCGAAGCGUACGCUAACUGCCUGCGUUACAAAAAGCUGGCAAUUGUUUAGAUAAUACGUCUCUAAUGCCUCAUAUUUCUUUAUUGAGUUGUUUAUUUAUUUAUUUAGUUCUUAUUGAAUUAUUUACCUACCUCGCAGGCUCAAAUGUUGGUGUAUUAAGUGGGUAGGGAUGCACAGUACGUACAAAAGAAGAAAGCACAUCCUUAUAGAGCAACUAAAGAAAAAAAGUCAGUUAAAGAACAGAACUAACAAGCAAGGAUAUAACAAGUAGCGGUAAUGCGGAAGAAAAAGAAAAGUUAAAUAUGGUGAAAGCUCAUAUAAUACUCGAGGAAAGACAAAUGGAGAGAAACAAAUCCCGAAGAUCACGGUUGUGUGUUAUUCAUAAAUAGAGGUAAAAUGCAUGUCUGUACUUAUUCUGAUCGCGAAUACAAACACUCUCAUCAGGUAAAUGGUUCCACAGUUCAACGGCGUCUGAUAAGGCGGAUGAAUUGCAGGCAAGAGUGCGGGCAAAAAGGUCUAUGAAGCUGUAAUGAUUAAACGACACGACGUAUGAGGUGAUCUCGAAAUGGGAAGGGCUGUUGCCUGUUCGCUGGAAUAUCACUCAGCAACGUUCGACCUCAUGUUUCAGGCCUGCGUCAUAUUUGCCUAAAAAAUGCACCAUUACUUCAUAUGUUUUCGGAUGCGUAAAUGUAAUUUCUCAGAAAGUCUAUAAAAUAACGUUGACAGGAUUUUGACCCUCGAACAUUCUGCUAUCCUGCGGACGCCCGUGUCUUGCAGUG